rnacentral:rRNA from 1 species
CAGUAGCCACGGUAAUACGUAGGGUGCAAGCGUUAAUCGGAAUUACUGGGCGUAAAGCGUGCGCAGGCGGUUAUAUAAGUCAGAUGUGAAAUCCCCGGGCUCAACCUGGGAACUGCAUUUGAGACUGGCAAGCUAGAGUCUUGUAGAGGGGGGUAGAAUUCCAGGUGUAGCGGUGAAAUGCGUAGAGAUCUGGAGGAAUACCGGUGGCGAAGGCGGCCCCCUGGACAAAGACUGACGCUCAGGUGCGAAAGCGUGGGGAGCAAACAGGAUUAGAUACCCCUGUAGUCCCUGUCUCUUAUAA